AAAGUCAACGGUACAAUGAUUGAAAUGAAAGAGGCCAAACGGAGUUGACUUUUUUUUUUCU
rnacentral:sRNA from 1 species